rnacentral:rRNA from 1 species
UACGAAGGGGGCUAGCGUUGCUCGGAAUUACUGGGCGUAAAGCGCACGUAGGCGGUCUUUUAAGUCGGGGGUGAAAUCCUGGAGCUCAACUCCAGAACUGCCUUCGAUACUGGAAGACUCGAGUCCGGGAGAGGUGAGUGGAACUGCGAGUGUAGAAGUGAAAUUCGUAGAUAUUCGCAAGAACACCAGUGGCGAAGGCGGCUCACUGGCCCGGUACUGACGCUGAGGUGCGAAAGCUAGGGGAGCAAACGGG